rnacentral:rRNA from 1 species
UCGAGGAUCUUCGGCAAUGGGCGAAAGCCUGACCGAGCGACGCCGCGUGUGCGAUGAAGGCCUUCGGAUUGUAAAGCACUGUCGUGGGGGAGAAAGGGAAACUUGAUCGACCCCAGGAGGAAGCUCGGGCUAAGUUCGUGCCAGCAGCCGCGGUAAGACGAACCGAGCGAACGUUGUUCGGAAUCACUGGGCUUAAAGGGCGCGUAGGCGGGCGGUCAAGUCAGGGGUGAAAGCCUCCAGCUCAACUGGAGAAGUGCCUCUGAUACUGAUCGUCUCGAGGGGGAUAGGGGCGUGCGGAACUUCCGGUGGAGCGGUGAAAUGCGUAGAUAUCGGAAGGAACACCGGUGGCGAAAGCGGCGCGCUGGAUCCCUUCUGACGCUGAGGCGCGAAAGCCAGGGGAGCAAACGG